GUGACCGCUAAAAAAUCAGUUUCAAUUCAAAAUGGCCAAACUACUGGUAGUACUCAUUGCUUUAGGCUGCAUUUUGUUGCCACAAAGCCAUUUAGUGGCUUCUCUUCAGUGCUAUUCUUGCUCAGGGGUGAUAAAUUCUAUUUCUGAAUGUACAAAUUUGCUUAAUGUUUAUCCCUCAAUUUGUGGAAGUGAUCAAGUUUGUGCCACCUUCGUUUUGCACAAAUCAACUGCAGACAUUUUGCACAGAAAAUGUGCUUCCAGUAAUAUAUGCAAUGAUUUGGAAAUA